UACGUAGGGUGCAAGCGUUAAUCGGAAUUACUGGGCGUAAAGCGUGCGCAGGCGGUUUGGUAAGACAGAUGUGAAAUCCCCGGGCUCAACCUGGGAAUUGCAUUUGUGACUGCCCGACUAGAGUGUGUCAGAGGGGGGUAGAAUUCCACGUGUAGCAGUGAAAUGCGUAGAGAUGUGGAGGAAUACCGAUGGCGAAGGCAGCCCCCUGGGAUAACACUGACGCUCAUGCACGAAGCGUGAGGAGCAAACAGGAUUAGGAAACCCAUCAG
rnacentral:rRNA from 1 species